rnacentral:tRNA from 4 species
GGCCAAAUGGUCUAGUGGUAUGAUUCUUGCUUUGGGUUCCCAACUCAACUGCAAGAGGUCCCGUGUUCAAUCCACGGUUUGGCCC